rnacentral:rRNA from 1 species
AGAGUUUGAUCCUGGCUCAAUUGAACGCUGGCGGCAUGCCUAACACAUGCAAGUCGAACGGCAGCGCGGAGGAGCCCGUGCCUUGGGGGGGGAGAGGGGGACGGAUGGGGAAUACAUCCAAAUCUGCUCGGGCGAGGGGGAUGACAUAGGGUGGCUAAUACCGCUACCGACCAAGAGCAAAAGGUGGAAGACCGGGAUGCCUCGACCCGAAGGAUGAGAAUAUGGCGGAGUCCUUUGUGUAGGGAUAAAGGCCCAAGACGGCGACGAUCCACAAUCCGUCUGGGGGGAUGAACGAUGACCCUGCGACUGAGAACUGAAACACACUCCUAACUCCGGCAGGAGGCAGCAAUGUUGAAUAUUGGGCAAAGGGCGCAAGCCUGAUCCCCCCGUGCGGCAAGAAUGAAGAAGGGCUGCGGGUUGUAUUUCCCUUUUGUUAAAAAAGAAAUCCAACCGGCUGAUCCCGGUGUGGGAUGACGAUAAACAAACAACAGCCAACUUCU